rnacentral:rRNA from 1 species
AUUGAACGCUGGCGGCAGGCCUAACACAUGCAAGUCGAACGAGUGGCGGACGGGUGAGUAAUGUCUGGGAACCUGCCUGAUCGAGGGGGAUAACUACUGGAAACGGUCGAUAAUACCGCAUACCAUCAGAUGUGCCCAGAUUGGAUUAGCUAGUUGGGGGGGUAACGGCUCACCAAGGCGACGAUCCCUAGCUGGUCUGAGAGGAUGAACAGCCACACUGGAACUGAAACACGGCCCAGACUCCUACGGGAGGCAGCAGUGGGGAAUAUUGCACAAUGGGCGAAAGCCUGAUGCAGCAAUGCCGCGUGUAUGAAGAAGGCCUUCGGGUUGUAAAGUACUGUCAGUGGGGAGGCGUUACCCGCAGAAGAAGCCCCGGCUAACUCCGUGCCAGCAGCCGCGGUAAUAC